rnacentral:rRNA from 1 species
AUGAACGCUGGCGGCGUGCUUCACACAUGCAAGUCGAACGAGAAAUGGAGACGGAAACCUUCGGGCGGAAGGCUUCAUUUCGAGUGGCGGACGGGUGAGUAACGCGUGGGUAACCUGCCUCAUACAGGGGGAUAACAGUUGGAAACGACUGUUAAUACCGCAUAAGACCACAGCACCGCAUGGUGCGGGGGUAAAAACUCCGGUGGUAUGAGAUGGACCCGCGUUCGAUUAGCCAGUUGGCGGGGUAACGGCCCACCAAAGCGACGAUCAAUAGCCGAUCUGAGAGGAUGACCGGCCACAUUGGGACUGAGACACGGCCCAAACUCCUACGGGAGGCAGCAGUGGGGAAUAUUGCACAAUGGGGGAAACCCUGAUGCAGCGACGCCGCGUGAGUGAAGAAGUACUUCGGUAUGUAAAGCUCUAUCAGCAGGGAAGAAAAUGACGGUACCUGAGUAAGAAGCCCCGGCUAACUACGUG